GCUCGUUCGACUUUGCAGUCAGCUAGUCACCGUUUACCCACAAUGCAGUAUGGACUUAAUGCUCUCGAUCAAGGCCCGUGGUUUCGUAGAAGACAUGAAGGCUACGCUGUUACGCCUUCCUCUCCUCUGAAGACCCAGUGAGGGUGGAGCUCAGUCAGAGAGCUGUUGAGGGACUGGUUAGGAAGAACACUUCUACAGCCAGAGAGGGGCAGUCAAGAAUUGGAACGGCAAGGCCACAGAACAUGUCAUAAGCAGAGCUGUGGGAGACCACCUCAAGCCCCUGGUAGAGCCGGGGGUGGUGUUUACCACUCCACCACACCUUCAGCAGGCUGGAAAAUUAACCCUGAUAUUUUAAAAGCAGGGCAACAACGUCAAUAUAAUUGUAAUCAAAAAUUGUCAGUUGGUUGCAUAAAUAAUUAUGAUUACUAAAUGUUACAUGAAAUGUAAAUAUGAAAUAUUCGGUUACAUAGUCUUAUUUUCAACGUCUUUUCAAUGACAUUUUGCUAGGUGUGAUAUCCCCAAUGUCAAAACACAGUUUUAACGUCUCCAAAUCAAUAACCAAUAUCAGAAACAGUUUGGGAUAAAUUGAAAACCUAAACAUAAAAUGUGCUAUAUAGACAAACAUCUGCCACAAUAAUCACAUUACUUGUAUUUUUUUAAACAAGCUCCUUAUAAACUGCACAAGCACCAAAAACGCUGUUGUUUUGACAAGAAGCAAUAAAUCACUGAUAUCGAUUAGAGGGGAAAUUAGGUUGAAUGUGCUGUUGAAACUAACACAACUAAAAAAACACAUGGAAAUGGGAGAUAUCUUUUACAUCCCUGGUUAGAGGACAACUUGCAGAAAACAGCUUGAUACAUUUUGAAGUGUUGCAUUUAGGUUCAAGUGGAUCACGAACGUGGUAAGAGGAAAAAAAAAAAUUGUUAAUCACUUUUUGUUAAAUAAUACUCUUCCAUUUCAGAGCCUGGAUUUUCCCCCUGAGGCUAAUAUCCAUAUCAUGUUGAAAUCAAUAGAACAGGGGACAAAUGUUUAGGGUUCUACAUUGUGACGUCAUUAAAAUACUCCUACUACAAUGUUAAAACAUUCUACAUUGUGACAUUUUUUCAUUGAUAUCAUGAAAUAACUC